CUGCCAAGGGCAUGGCUGGGUAGCUAUGUACGGAAUGGAUAAGCGCUGAAAGCCUCUAAGCGCGAAGCCAACUUCAAGAUAAGAUUUCCCACCGCAAGGUUAGGACCCCAUAAAGACUAUCUGGUUGAUAAGCCGAGGGUGUAAGUGCAGCAAUGUAUUUAGCUUAUCGAUACUAAUAGGUCGAGGACCUGACUAAU
rnacentral:rRNA from 1 species